rnacentral:rRNA from 1 species
AUUGAACGCUGGCGGCAUGCUUUACACAUGCAAGUCGGACGAGUGGCGAAAGGGUGAGUAAUAUAUCGGAACGUACCGAGUAAUGGGGGAUAACUAAUCGAAAGAUUAACUAAUACCGCAUAUUAUUCGAGCGGCCGAUAUCUGAUUAGCUAGUUGGUGGGGUAAAGGCCUACCCAGGCGACGAUCAGUAGCGGGGCUGAGAGGAUGAUCCGCCAUGCUGGGACUUGGACACGGCCCAGACUCCUACUGGAGGGAGAAGGGGGGGAUUUGUGACAAUGGGCGCCAGCCCGGUCCAGCCAUGCCGCGUGAGGGAUGACUGCCUUCGGGUUUUGAAGCUCUGUUAAUCGGGACGCGGUACCGGAAUAGAAAGCCACGGCUAACUACGUGCCAGCAGCCGCGGUAAUAC